rnacentral:sRNA from 12 species
GUACCGCAAGGAAGUUAUACCGCUGUGUUCCUUACCGGACAUCGAAGGAGAGCGACGGCAGAUGUACGGACGGUGC